CAAGCGUUGUUCGGAUUCAUUGGGCGUAAAGGGUGCGUAGGCGGCGCGGUAAGUCGGGUGUGAAAUCUCGGAGCUUAACUCCGAAACUGCAUUCGAUACUGCCGUGCUUGAGGACUGGAGAGGAGACUGGAAUUUACGGUGUAGCGGUGAAAUGCGUAGAUAUCGUAAGGAAGACCAGUGGCGAAGGCGGGUCUCUGGACAGUUCCUGACGCUGAGGCACGAAGGCCAGGGGAGCAAACGGG
rnacentral:rRNA from 1 species